GAAUGAUUGAGAACCAAUGAAUAGUUGUUCAGUAAAUGGUUUAUAUUUUACAGAUGAUGAAACUGAAACACAAAAAAUUUAGAUUAGCUCUUAGGUGACAAAGCCAGGAUUGAAGCUCAUGCGGUCUGGCUCCAGAACAACUCUUCUUCAUAGUUACAUUAUACUGCCCCUGCAUUGUUGGUAUUGAAAAUAACUGAUACCGUGCUUCCAGAAGAUUUUUCUAACAGUGUUUGCAGGCUAUAAAAUAGUGCUUUCACUUAGAAAAGGCCAGACAUGGUGGUUCAUGCCUGUAAUCCCUAGCACUUUGAGAGGCCAAGGCACCAUGCCGGGAGAUAAGGAUCCAACAUAAGACAAACAGGGCUGAUGCUUUUGGAAAGCUCAUAUUCAAGCUGGGGAGACAAACAACAUACAAGUUGCUGUAGCUACCUUCUGCAUAUGGAUAUCCAGUUUUCCCAGCACCACUUAUUAAAGAGACUGUCUUUUCUGCAGUGUAUAUUCUUGGCACCAUUGUUGAAAAUGAAUUCAUUGUAGGUGUG
rnacentral:lncRNA from 1 species